UUUGUCCCUUGGAUGCACCCCUCUUGCCGCUUGACGCCUUGUAUUUCUUGGUUCUCUGCAGAGUCCACGACCGUCACCAGACGCAGCCUUCAGAAUAAUGAACCAAAUUAAGCCUCUCAUCUUGAUAAAUCAUCCAGCCUCAUGUGUUCUGUCAUCACAGCAAAAACAGACCAAGGAAAUGCCGCGAUUGGAAUAGGAACGUCCUGCCAGGGAAGAAGGCUGCUGUUCAGAAACUGACUCAUAAACUUCAGUACAAAUUCUGCUCAGGGCUGCUAAAGACUGAGGCCAGAGCCAACAGUGGCAUUAGCAGAAGCAUAAAGGGGCUGUCGGGGGUUCAGCAGAGUCAAUGGGUUUGCCCCAGGGCAUACUCUUCCCCUCUCUUGUGGCUAGCUCCCUUGAAAUGUAGUGCUCCUGGGACAUAGUAGCUUACCCAGUGUUUAUUCCCUGCCACUUGGUUUCAGUAGUAAGAAGCUUUCAAAUUGUGUGUGUGUGUGUGUGUGUGUGUGUGUGUGUGUGUAUGUGUGUGUGUGUGUGUGUGUGUAUGUGUUGUUAUUGUUAUUUUGUCUGAAACAAGAUCAGCAAGUUCAUGUAUCUUAGGCUGGCCCUGAAUUCACUAUGUAUAGUCCAGGAUGGCCUUGAACUGGCAGGGGUCUUUCUGCCUCAGGUUCCAACAGGUUGGAGUUAUAGGCAUUGGACAUUAUGCCUGCCUUAAAAUAAAUUAUAUUUAAAGUGUA